rnacentral:rRNA from 1 species
AGAGUUUGAUCCUGGCUCAGGAUGAACGCUGGCGGCGUGCCUAAUACAUGCAAGUCGAGUGGGUUUAGACCCACGGCGAACGGGUGAGUAACACGUAGGUAUCUGCCUGAUAGUGGGGCAUACCCAGCCGAAAGGUUGGAUAAUUCCCCAUAUGGUCACAACGCAAGUUGUGAUGAAAGAUUUAUCGCUAUCAGAGGAACCUGCGGCCUAUCAGCUAGUUGGUGGGGUAAUGGCCUACCAAGGCAACGACGGGUAGCUGGAUCGAGAGGUUGACCAGCCACAAUGGGACUGAGAUACGGCCCAUACUCCUACGGGAGGCAGCAGUAAGGAAUUUUGCGCAAUGGACGAAAGCCUGACGCAGCGACGCCGCGUGAUCGAUGAAGCUUUUCGGAGUGUAAAGAUCUUUUGAUUGGGAAAAUUAUGAUUGUACCAAUCGAAUAAGCGCCGGCUAAUUACGUGCCAGAAGCCUCGGUGAUACGUAAGGCGCAAGCGUUAUCCGGAAUUAUCGGGCGUAAAGAGUUCGUAGGUGGUUUGAUAAGUCUCGAGUUAAAUAAUUGGGCUCAACCCAGUUUCUGCUCGAGAGUACUGUCAAACUAGAGGUAAGUAGGGGCAGAUAGAAUUCCCGGUGUAGCAGUGAAAUGCGUUGAUAUCGGGAGGAAUACCAAUGGCGAAAGCAUUCUGCUAAACUUAUCCUGACACUGAGGAACGAAAGCGUGGGGAGCGAAAGGGAUUAGAUACCCCUGUAGUCCACGCCGUAAACAAUGGGUACUAGGUAUUAGAAGUAUCGACCCUUCUAGUACCGUAGCUAACGCGUUAAGUACCCCGCCUGGGAAGUACGGCCGCAAGGCUAAAACUCAAAGGAAUUGACGGGGGCUCGCACAAGCGGUGGAGCAUGUGGUUUAAUUCGACGAUAACCGAAGAACCUCACCAGGGCUUGACAUCUUGGGAAUCCUGCCGAAAGGCGGGAGUGCCGCAAGGAGCCCAAAGACAGGUACUGCAUGGUUGUCGUCAGCUCGUGUCGUGAGAUGUUUCCUUAAGUGGAUCAACGAGCGCAACCCUCAUCUUGUGUUAUAUGUGUCACAAGAAACUGCCUCGGUUAACGGGGAGGAAGGUGGGGAUGACGUCAAAUCAGCAUGGUCUUUAUGCCCUGGGCUACACACGUGCUACAAUGGCUACUACAAUGGGUCGCUAAACCGCAAGGUGGUGCUAAUCUCAUCAAAAGUAGUCACAGUUCGGAUUGAAGUCUGCAACUCGACUUCAUGAAGCUGGAAUCGCUAGUAACCGUGGAUCAGCUAUGCCACGGUGAAUAUGUUCUCGAGCCUUGUACACACCGCCCGUCAAGCGAGCCGAGUCGGCAACAGCCGAAUCUCAUCUAUGGUGAGAGACGCUGGGGUCGGUAAGGAGCACUAAGUCGUAACAAGGUAACC